ensembl:lncRNA
AAUAGGGUUUAAACCAUAUGGCAGACAUAGUUGGAAACGCUCAAGCUGUCAAAUACACUCCUCUAGGUGUUUUAUUACGAGCCGUGUGCUGGACUUGCCUGCUAUUUUGUCAUAUAAUGUAGAUAUUUUAGAAGAUUAUAAAAGAAACCAAAAUAUAGUGGGAUUAUAUAAUUAACGUGGCAUCUUAGUAUUGUACGAUUGUCGGGAUGAACAGUUCCCUCCUUCUUAAUCCCGCCCCCAACUUGGAUUUUAAGAUGAAGGUUUAAUUUCUAUACACGCUCGUUUGAAUUUUUUUACAUUCACUGCUUGGGAAUGAAACCUUUCGGUCCGUCUUGAAUAUAAGCCUCCAUUUCAGGUUGGAUUUAACGAUAUAGUUUAGAAAACACUGCUUAUUUAAUACAGAAAAAAACAACAAAAAGAUGUUUUCACUUGUGUGCGACCAUCACAGGCUGCAGAUUGUUUUGGAUUUUAUGUUCUAAAGGAUGUAAAUUAAGUUAUUAUUUGGCUCUAUGGAAAUCAAAGUUGUGUUGAAAAUCUUGUGAUAUAUUGUGUUGAUUCUUUUUUUUUUUUUUUCUUUUUUUUUUUUUUUCCUCCAUUCCUAGAUUUCCUUUCUUUGAAAGACAGAACCCGGCUGCAGAGCUGUUGACAUUUUGAACUACCGGAAAAAUGAAACGAAACUAAGAGGAACAAAAAAAAAAAAACAAAAACGAAAAAAACAACAACAAAAAAAAAAAAACGGAAUGUGGCUUUUGAAUUUUUUCUAAGAAGAAAAGAUAAUACAUAUAUGAUGAUCAUUUUUCUGCACUAUCCAGAUAUGAAUGAAUUUCUGUGGUGUAAAAUUAGAUGUGCUUCUGUGUGUUAAAAAUCAAAGCUUGUCUUCCUGCAGUCAGUAAAAAAAUAUACUCUAGCAUCUCAACAGUAUUCAGUAGUUGUUAAUAAUUAUUUAUUGUGCUAUAGAGAGGACAACACGAAAUGAAGGCACAUUUACAGGGGAAACUGAUGUAACUAAGAUCCCUAAAAUUCCCUUAUUAUUAUCUCCUAAAUUGGAACUAUGGGGAAGCAUGAUCUUAUGCUUAAUAUGCAAGCUAAUCUCACUUUCCUCUGGUCCUGACCUGAUUUAUUGUUAUUUUUAUUUUUUUUUAAAUGUUCUAUCAGUUUGUUUCCUCAUCAUGAGAUGGUGCAUAAGCUUUAAUCGUUAGCUCAGGCAUGCGUAUCAGAAUCCUGUAACUCCCUGGUAGUUUAUUUCAGAGCAACUUCUGCCAAAACUGUCAGCCUUUCUAUGGUACAGUUUCAUUUCUAAUGGUGAAUGUGAAUGAAUAUGGUAAGUACUUUGUAUACAGAGAGAACUGGACUCCAUUUUUAGAGUUACAACAAUUCCAUUGCCCUGCAAAUAAAAACAACAACAACAACAACAACAACAACCCGACAACAAUACAGAUCAAUAACCACACUCCGUCCCAUUAACUGUUUUUAAGCAUUCUAAUAAUUCUGAAUAAUAUUUCUUGCAAUACAUCAGCUUCUAUGUACUGUACUUAGCAAGCAUGCAUUUUGUGGAACAAAGAAGAUAACAUGCCACUGAUACUUUUGGCACUCUAGAAAAUUUAUGGGUAAAUGAUAAGU